rnacentral:rRNA from 1 species
UACAGAGGGGGCAAGCGUUGUUCGGAAUUACUGGGCGUAAAGGGCGCGUAGGCGGCCUUCUAAGUCGAGCGUGAAAUCCCUGGGCUCAACCCAGGAACUGCGUCCGAUACUGGAAGGCUUGAAUCCGGGAGAGGGAUGCGGAAUUCCAGGUGUAGCGGUGAAAUGCGUAGAUAUCUGGAGGAACACCGGUGGCGAAGGCGGCAUCCUGGACCGGUAUUGACGCUGAGGCGCGAAAGCCAGGGGAGCAAACGGG